rnacentral:rRNA from 1 species
UACAGAGGGGGCAAGCGUUGUUCGGAAUUACUGGGCGUAAAGGGCGCGUAGGCGGCCUUCUAAGUCGAACGUGAAAUCCCCGGGCUCAACCCGGGAACUGCGUCCGAUACUGGAAGGCUUGAAUCCGGGAGAGGGAUGCGGAAUUCCAGGUGUAGCGGUGAAAUGCGUAGAUAUCUGGAGGAACACCGGUGGCGAAGGCGGCAUCCUGGACCGGCAUUGACGCUGAGGCGCGAAAGCCAGGGGAG